GUGCUCCCUUCAGCAGCACAUACGCUAAAAUUGGAACCAUGCAGAGAAGACUAGCAUGGCCCCUGCACAAGGAUGACAUGCAAAUCUGUGAAGUGUUCCAUAUUUUG
rnacentral:snRNA from 1 species